rnacentral:lncRNA from 1 species
CUUUUAAAAUGCAAUUUGGAUCACUCCACUGUUCUGCUUGAACCUUCCAAGGGGUUUCCCUUUCUUGGAAUAAAAUCUAAACUCCUUAACCUAGCCUACAGGUCUUUCAUAAUCUGGUCCAAACUCACCUUUUGUCCUCAUCUUCUACACUCUUCUUCCUGUGGUAAGUGGAAUGUCUCCCUCCCCUAGACACCCACACCCAAUCUCUGGGACUUGUGAAUACAUUACUUUAUACAAUUAAGGGGGAUUGAGGUUGCAGAUGAAAUUAAGGCUGCUCACCAACUGACCUUAAAAUGGAAAGUUAUCCUGGAUUCUGUAGGUGAUCCAAUGUAAUCAGAAGCGUUCUUAAAAGAACAGGGAGGCAGAAGAGUCAAGAGAAUGAGAUGUGAUGACAGAAAUAAGGUCAUCAACAUGACAUAAUCUAAGACUCAACCCACAUUGUUUUGAGGGUGGAGAGGAAGGGCCAUGAGCCAAGCAGUGUCAGCAACCUCUAGAAGCUGGAAAAGGCAAGGAAAUAUAUACUCCCUUAGAACUUCCAGAAAGGAAUGCAGUCCUGCAGCCACCUUGAUUUCAGCCCAGUGAGACUCAUUCAGACUUCUGACUUCCAGAACUGUAAAAUGAGCUUUUAUCUUUGUUGUCAUCACCACUUGGAAUGUCCUGUUCCGAUACAUUCACAUGGCUGACCUGGCUGCUUCUUGUCAUUAUGAGCUCAGCUUCACAGAGAUGUCUUCCCUGACCACUCAGUUCAAGUCCAUUCUCUCUAAAGUGUAUAGUGAAGUUUUCCAGAGACUACAUGAUAUGGAUAUCAUAACAGACUGAAUGUUGAAGGAGAUGGAACAUAUUAAAGAGAUGAGCAAAAAUGUAAAAUAGUACCAUUCUUUGUUUUGUAACGUUAUUUUUCAUAAACAUUGUAA